rnacentral:rRNA from 1 species
UACGGUAGGGUGCGAGCGUUGUCCGGAGUUACUGGGCGUAAAGGGUGUGUAGGCGGUUCUUUAAGUUUGCUGUGAAAUCUCCCGGCUUAACCGGGAGGGUGCGGUGAAUACUGAGGGACUAGAGUACGGGAGAGGAAAGUGGAAUUCCUGGUGGUAGCGGUGAAAUGACGUAGAUAUUGGGAGGAACACCGGUGGCGAAGGCGGCCCCCUGGACCGGUACUGACGCUGAGGCGCGAAAGCGUGG